rnacentral:lncRNA from 1 species
GCUUAAGCCUGGGAGGUCAAGGCUGCAGUGAGCCAUGUUUGCACUACUACAUUCCAGCCAGGUCAACAGAGCAAGACCCUGUCUCAUAAAGAAAGAAAGAAUACAGAGAGGUCCCAUGUACCAUUACUUAGUUUUCCUCAAGGGUAACAUCUUGCCAAACUAUAAUGCAAUAUCACAACCUGGAUACUGACACGGAUACAGUCAAGAUAACAG